AUUGAACGCUGGCGGCAUGCCUAACACAUGCAAGUCGAACGGAGAUAGGGGCAACCUUAUUUUAGUGGCGGACGGGUGAGGAAUGCGUCGGAAUCUGCCCUAUGGUGGGGGAUAACACAGGGAAACUUGUGCUAAUACCGCAUAAUGUCGAGAGACCAAAGCAGGGGACCGCAAGGCCUUGCGCGAUAGGAUGAGCCGACGCCCGAUUAGCUUGUUGGUAGGGUAAUGGCCUACCAAGGCGACGAUCGGUAGCUGGUCUGAGAGGAUGAUCAGCCACACUGGGACUGAGACACGGCCCAGACUCCUACGGGAGGCAGCAGUGGGGGAAUAUUGGACAAUGGGCGCAAGCCUGAUCCAGCCAUGCCGCGUGAGUGAAGAAGGCCU
rnacentral:rRNA from 1 species